CUUCAAUAACGUCUGAGAGAAUUGGAUGGUGGUAUUCAUCAGCUCGUCUGGAACCGGAGAAUGCACAUGUUCUUGGAUCCAGAAGAGGAUGUCCGAUCCUCCUGGAGCUGGAGUUACAGGUGUCUGUGAGCGCCCAGUGCCGGGAUCCAGGCUUGGGUCCUCUGGGAAAGCAGCGAGUUCUCGUAACCACUGGUGCACCUCUCCAGCUGUCUACCUCGGUGUUACGACAGGAUUUCUGACUGAUUCUGAAGUCCAUCAGUUCUGCUAGACUGGCUGGCCAAUGAGCUUCGGGGAUUCUCCUGUCUCCCCCUCUUCACCUCUCCUCCAGCCCACAGUACUCCGGUUACAAGCACAUUCCAGGGUGCUCAGCUUUUUACAUGGGCUCUGGGGAUCUGAACUCAGGCCCGCACGCUUGUGUGGCAAACACUUUACUGAGUCAUCUCCCCUGUCCUUUACAAAUGUAUUCUCCAUCACCCUGGAGGUGCCAGUCAG
rnacentral:lncRNA from 1 species